GUGUGUGUUCCAGUACAUGACAGGUUGUUGAUGUGUGUGUUCCAGUACAUGACAGGUUGUUGAUGUGUGUGUUCCAGUAAAUGACAGGUUGUUGAUGUGUGUGUUCCAGUACAUGACAGGUUGUUGAUGUGUGUGUUCCAGUAAAUGACAGGUUGUUGAUGUGUGUGUUCCAGUAAAUGACAGGUUGUUGAUGUGUGUGUUCCAGUACAUGACAGGUUGUUGAUGUGUGUGUUCCAGUACAUGACAGGUUGUUGAUGUGUGUGUUCCAGUAAAUGACAGGUUGUUGAUGUGUGUGUUCCAGUACAUGACAGGUUGUUGAUGUGUGUGUUCCAGUAAAUGACAGGUUGUUGAUGUGUGUGUUCCAGUAAAUGACAGGUUGUUGAUGUGUGUGUUCCAGUACAUGACAGGUUGUUGAUGUGUGUGUUCCAGUACAUGACAGGUUGUUGAUGUGUGUGUUCCAGUAAAUGACAGGUUGUUGAUGUGUGUGUUCCAGUACAUGACAGGUUGUUGAUGUGUGUGUUCCAGUACAUGACAGGUUGUUGAUGUGUGUGUUCCAGUAAAUGACAGGUUGUUGAUGUGUGUGUUCCAGUAAAUGACAGGUUGUUGAUGUGUGUGUUCCAGUACAUGACAGGUUGUUGAUGUGUGUGUGUUCCAGUACAUGACAGGUUGUUGAUGUGUGUGUUCCAGUACAUGACAGGUUGUUGAUGUGUGUGUUCCAGUACAUGACAGGUUGUUGAUGUGUGUGUUCCAGUACAUGACAGGUUGUUGAUGUGUGUGUGUGUGUUCCAGUACAUGACAGGUUGUUGAUGUGUGUGUUCCAGUACAUGACAGGUUGUUGAUGUGUGUGUGUGUUCCAGUACAUGACAGGUUGUUGAUGUGUGUGUGUGUUCCAGUACAUGACAGGUUGUUGAUGUGUGUGUGUGUGUUCCAGUACAUGACAGGUUGUUGAUGUGUGUGUUCCAGUACAUGACAGGUUGUUGAUGUGUGUGUGUGUUCCAGUACAUGACAGGUUGUUGAUGUGUGUGUUCCAGUACAUGACAGGUUGUUGAUGUGUGUGUGUUCCAGUACAUGACAGGUUGUUGAUGUGUGUGUGUUCCAGUACAUGACAGGUUGUUGAUGUGUGUGUGUUCCAGUACAUGACAGGUUGUUGAUGUGUGUGUUCCAGUACAUGACAGGUUGUUGAUGUGUGUGUGUUCCAGUACAUGACAGGUUGUUGAUGUGUGUGUUCCAGUACAUGACAGGUUGUUGAUGUGUGUGUUCCAGUACAUGACAGGUUGUUGAUGUGUGUGUGUUCCAGUACAUGACAGGUUGUUGAUGUGUGUGUUCCAGUACAUGACAGGUUGUUGAUGUGUGUGUUCCAGUUCAUGACAGGUUGUUGAUGUGUGUGUUCCAGUACAUGACAGGUUGUUGAUGUGUGUGUGUUCCAGUACAUGACAGGUUGUUGAUGUGUGUGUUCCAGUACAUGACAGGUUGUUGAUGUGUGUGUUCCAGUACAUGACAGGUUGUUGAUGUGUGUGUUCCAGUACAUGACAGGUUGUUGAUGUGUGUGUUCCAGUACAUGACAGGUUGUUGAUGUGUGUGUUCCAGUACAUGACAGGUUGUUGAUGUGUGUGUUCCAGUACAUGACAGGUUAUAGUUGAUGUGUGUGUUCCAGUACAUGACAGGUUAUUGUUGAUGUGUGUGUUCCAGUACAUGACAGGUUGUUGAUGUGUGUGU